ACGCUCGACACCUACGGGAGGCGCAGUGAGGAAUAUUGGUCAAUGGGCGCAGGCCUGAACCAGCCAAGUAGCGUGAAGGAUGACUGCCCUAUGGGUUGUAAACUUCUUUUAUAUGGGAAUAAAGUUUUCCACGUGUGGAAUUUUGUAUGUACCAUAUGAAUAAGGAUCGGCUAACUCCGUGCCGGCAGCCGCGGUAAUCUGAGCGGGCUGGCAAGGC
rnacentral:rRNA from 1 species